rnacentral:rRNA from 1 species
UGGGUAACCUGCCUCAAAGAGGGGAAUAGCCUCCCGAAAGGGAGAUUAAUACCGCAUAAUAUGUUUAGUCGCAUGACUUUAACAUCAAAGGAUUUCUUUUAGAAAUUCCACUUUGAGAUGGACCCGCGGCGCAUUAGCUAGUUGGUGAGGUAACGGCUCACCAAGGCAACGAUGCGUAGCCGACCUGAGAGGGUGAUCGGUCACAUUGGAACUGAGACACGGUCCAGACUCCUAGGCAGG